GAUAAACGCUAGCGGCAGGCUUAACACAUGCAAGUCGGGGGGCAGCAUAGAUUGUAGCAAUACAAUUGGUGGCGACCGGCGCACGGGUGCGUAACGCGUAUGCAACCUACCCGUCACAGGGGGAUAAUCCGGAGAAAUCUGGUCUAAUACCCCAUAACAUAUGGAUCGGCAUCGGUUCAUGUUGAAAUUUUCGGAGGUGUCGGAUGGGCAUGCGUAGCAUUAGCUUGUUGGUGAGGUAACGGCUCACCAAGGCGACGAUGCUUAGGGGGACUGAGAGGUUUUCCCCCCACACUGGAACUGAGACACGGACCAGACUCCUACGGGAGGCAGCAGUGAGGAAUAUUGGUCAAUGGGCGCAAGCCUGAACCAGCCAUGCCGCGUGCAGGAUGACGGCUCUAUGAGUUGUAAACUGCUUUUGUACGAGGGUAAAGUGGGUUACGUGUAACCUUUUGAAAGUAUCGUACGAAUAAGGAUCGGCUAACUCCGUGCCAGCCGCCGCGGUAA
rnacentral:rRNA from 1 species